GGGGAUAUAGCUCAGCUGGUAGAGUGCUUGCAUUCUAAGCAUUGGACCCUGGGUAUAAUUCCCAGUACCACCA
rnacentral:tRNA from 1 species